AGUGUGGGAGGUUAAGUUUCCUAAACUUCACUACAUUGUAUGAUCUAUGACCACAGUUGUACCAGCCAUAGUCGCCCUAACAGAUAUCUAAAGUCAUGACAUUACUUAGCUACGGGUGACCCCUACAGAUAGUGUGACACCGCUUUUGUCAGAGGGUCCACCGUCAUCCAUUUGGAGCGGUCCUCUUAUGUCUUUCCAGACCAGAUAAGA
rnacentral:lncRNA from 1 species